AACAGAGCGAGCCCUGCUUCUAUCUAUCUAUGGAUUUAUAUAGUGUAUAAACCGAGCGAGCCCUGCUUCUAUCUAUGGAUUUAUAUAGUGUAUAAACAGAGCGAGCCCUGCUUCUAUCUAUCUAUGGAUUUAUAUAGUGUAUAAACAGAGCGAGUCCUGCUUCUAUCUAUCUAUGGAUUUAUAUAGUGUAUAAACAGAGUGAG